GACGAACGCUGGCGGCGUGCUUAACACAUGCAAGUCGAACGGAAAGGCCCUGCUUUUGUGUGGUGCUCGAGUGGCGAACGGGUGAGUAACACGGGAGUAACCUGCCCUGGGCUUUGGGAUAACUUCAGGAGACUGGUGCUAAUACCGGAUAGGAGCUCCUGCUGCAUGGUGGGGGUUGGAAAUUUUCGUCGGUGGUGGCUGGACUCGCGGCUUAUCAGCUUGUUGGUGGGGUAGUGGCUUACCAAGGCUUUGACGGGUAGCCCGCCCGAGAGGGUGACCGGGCUCCUUGGGACUGAGGUACGGACCAGACUCCAACGGGGGGCAGUGGUCGGGAAUAUUGCCCAAUGGGCGGAAGUCUGAUGAAGAAACGCUGCGUGCGGGAUGCCGGCCUUCGGGUUGUAAACCGCUUUAGCCUGUGACGAAGCGUGAGUGACGGUAAUGGGUAAAGAAGCACCGGCUAACUACGUG
rnacentral:rRNA from 1 species